rnacentral:rRNA from 1 species
CCUACGGGUGUCAGCAGUGGGGAAUAUUGGGCAAUGGAGGCAACUCUGACCCAGCAAUGCCGCGUGAGUGAUGAAGGUAAUUUUAUUGUAAAGCUCUUUUCUUUGGAACGAAUAAAUGACGGUACCAAAGGAAUAAGCCCCGGCUAACUACGUGCCAGCAGCCGCGGUAAUACGUAGGGGGCAAGCGUUGUUCGGAAUGACUGGGCGUAAAGGGUGUGUAGGUGGUUUGAUAAGUUAGAGGUGAAAUCCCGAGGCUCAACUUCGGAAUUGCCUGUGAUACUGUUCGGCUAGAGAGUAGUUGCGGUAGGCGGAAUGUAUGGUGUAGCGGUGAAAUGCUUAGAGAUCAGACAGAACACCGGUUGCGAAGGCAGCUUACCAAGCUACUUCUGACGUUGAGGCACGAAAGCGUGGGGAGCAAACAGGAUUAGAUACCCGGGUAGUC